rnacentral:rRNA from 1 species
UACAGAGGUCUCAAGCGUUGUUCGGAAUUACUGGGCGUAAAGCGCACGUAGGCGGCUUGGUAAGUUGGGUGUGAAAUCCCGAGGCUCAACCUCGGAAUUGCCUUCAAGACUGCUUGGCUUGAGUUCGGAAGAGGUGAGUGGAAUUCCCAGUGUAGAGGUGAAAGUCGUAGAGAUUGGGAAGAACACCGGUGGCGAAGGCGGCCCCCUGGUUGGAUACUGACGCUGAGACGCGAAAGCGUGGGGAGCAAACAGG